rnacentral:rRNA from 1 species
GACGAACGCUGGCGGCGUGCCUAAUACAUGCCAGUAGAACGCACAGUUUAUACCGUAGCUUGCUACACCAUAAACUGUGAGUUGCGAACGGGUGAGUAACGCGUAGGUAACCUGCCUGGUAGCGGGGGAUAACUAUUGGAAACGAUAGCUAAUACCGCAUAAUAUUAAUUAUUGCAUGAUAAUUGAUUGAAAGAUGCAAUUGCAUCACUACCAGAUGGACCUGCGUUGUAUUAGCUAGUAGGUGAGGUAACGGCUCACCUAGGCGACGAUACAUAGCCGAACUGAGAGGGUGAUCGGCCACACUGGGACUGAGACACGGCCCAGACGCCUACGGGAGGCAGCAGGAGGGAAUCGUCGGCAAUGGACGAAAGGCUGACCGAGCAACGCCGCGUGAGUGAAGAAGGGUGUCGGAUCGUAAAGCUCUGUUGUAAGAGAAGAACGGGUGUGAGAGUGGAAAGUUCACACUGUGACGGUAUCUUACCAGAAAGGGACGGCUAACUACGUG